UACGGAGGAUGCAAGCGUUAUCCGGAAUGAUUGGGCGUAAAGCGUCCGCAGGUGGCUGUGUAAGUCUGCUGUUAAAGAGUGAGGCUCAACCUCAUAAAGGCAGUGGAAACUACACGGCUAGAGUGCGUUCGGGGCAGAGGGAAUUCCUGGUGUAGCGGUGAAAUGCGUAGAGAUCAGGAAGAACAUCGGUGGCGAAGGCGCUCUGCUGGACCAUAACUGACACUCAGGGACGAAAGCUAGGGGAGCGAAUGGG
rnacentral:rRNA from 1 species